rnacentral:rRNA from 1 species
GUUAUAUGGUCAAGCGAAUAAGCGCACACGGUGGAUGCCUUGGCGGUCAGAGGCGAUGAAGGACGUGGCAGCCUGCGAAAAGUAUCGGGGAGCUGGCAACAAGCUUUGAUCCGGUAAUGUCCGAAUGGGGAAACCCACCCGCUUGCGGGUAUCCUGCAGUGAAUACAUAGCUGCUGGAAGCGAACCUGGUGAACUGAAAUAUCUAAGUAACCAGAGGAAAAGAAAUCAACCGAGAUUCCGUAAGUAGCGACGAGCGAACGCGGACUAGCCCUUAAGCUGAUUUGGUUCUAGGAAAACGCUCUGGAAAGAGCGGCCAUAGAAGGUGAUAGCCCUGUAUCUGAAAGGGCCAUUUCAGUGAAGACGAGUAGGGCGGGGCACGUGAAACCCUGUCUGAACAUGGGGGGACCAUCCUCCAAGGCUAAAUACUACUGACCGACCGAUAGUGAACCAGUACCGUGAGGGAAAGGCGAAAAGAACCCCGGAGAGGGGAGUGAAAUAGAACCUGAAACCGUGUGCGUACAAGCAGUAGGAGCUCCGCAAGGAGUGACUGCGUACCUUUUGUAUAAUGGGUCAGCGACUUACUGUUCGUGGCAAGCUUAACCGUAUAGGGGAGGCGAAGGGAAACCGAGUCUGAUAAGGGCGCAUAGUCGCGGGCAGUAGACCCGAAACCGGGUGAUCUAGUCAUGCCCAGGGUGAAGGUGCGGUAACACGCACUGGAGGCCCGAACCCACUCCCGUUGCAAAGGUAGGGGAUGAGGUGUGAUUAGGAGUGAAAAGCUAAUCGAACCCGGAGAUAGCUGGUUCUCCUCGAAAGCUAUUUAGGUAGCGCCUCAUAUGUAUCCUCUCGGGGGUAGAGCACUGUUAUGGCUAGGGGGUCAUCGCGACUUACCAAACCAUUGCAAACUCCGAAUACCGAGACGGACUGUAUGGGAGACACACGGCGGGUGCUAACGUCCGUCGUGAAAAGGGAAACAACCCAGACCCACAGCUAAGGUCCCAAAUUCACUGCUAAGUGGAAAACCAUGUGGAAAGGCACAGACAGCCAGGAGGUUGGCUUAGAAGCAGCCACCCUUUAAAGAAAGCGUAAUAGCUCACUGGUCGAGUCGGUCUGCGGGGAAGAUUUAACGGGGCUAAGCAGUGAACCGAAGCUUGGGGUGCAUACUUUGUAUGCGCGGUAGAGGAGCGUUCCGUAAGCCGUUGAAGGUGGAUUGAGAAGUCUGCUGGAGGUAUCGGAAGUGCGAAUGCUGACAUGAGUAACGAUAAUGCGGGUGAAAAACCCGCACGCCGAAAGCCCAAGGUUUCCUUGCGCAACGUUAAUCGGCGCAGGGUGAGUCGGCCCCUAAGGCGAGGACGAAAGUCGUAGUCGAUGGGAAGCAGGUUAAUAUUCCUGCACCUCGCGUAAGUGCGAUGGAGGGACGGAGAAGGUUAGGUGUACCAGGCGUUGGUUGUCCUGGGGAAAGGCGGUAGGUUUGGAUCUUUGGCAAAUCCGGGAUCCUUUAAGACCGAGCACCGAGACGAGCCUUUAUGGCGAAGUCACUGAUACCACGCUUCCAGGAAAAGCUCCUAAGCUUCAGCUUACGCAGACCGUACCGUAAACCGACACAGGUGGGUAGGAUGAGAAUUCUCAGGCGCUUGAGAGAACUCGGGUGAAGGAACUAGGCAACAUGGCACCGUAACUUCGGGAGAAGGUGCACCCUUUUUGGUGGCUCGUGCGAGCUAUAGCUGAAGAGGGUCGCAGUAACCAGGCCGCUGCGACUGUUUAUCAAAAACACAGCACUCUGCAAACACGAAAGUGGACGUAUAGGGUGUGACGCCUGCCCGGUGCUGGAAGGUUAAUUGAUGGGGUCAGCCGCAAGGCGAAGCUCUUGAUCGAAGCCCCAGUAAACGGCGGCCGUAACUAUAACGGUCCUAAGGUAGCGAAAUUCCUUGUCGGGUAAGUUCCGACCUGCACGAAUGGCGUAAC